rnacentral:misc_RNA from 1 species
UAUAACUUUAUAUGGAGAAUAUCUAGAUGUAUUUAAGUUAUAAUGGAUUGUAUUUUAAAACUAUUUAAAUAUUGUAAAAAUCAAUAGACUGUGUUGAAAUAUUGAGACUGUGAAAUAGUUAAGAAUUUGCUAUUAUCAUAUUGAACUGUUUUUAAUAGGUUUGGAAGGAUAGUUUGUCCGAAAUACAGACAGCACCUUGCCAAAUUUUUAUUACUGUUU